AUUGAACGCUGGCGGCAUGCCUUACACAUGCAAGUCGAACGGUAACAGGUCUUCUGAUGCUGACUAGUGGCGAACGGUUGCGUAAUACAUCGUAACGUGCCCGAUCUUUGGGGAUAACUAUGCGAAAGCUUUUCUAAUACCGCAUACGAUCUACUGAUUAAAGCUGUGUAUCUUCUGACCUCUCUCUGACCUUGCUGCCGAUGGCAGAUUAUGUAGUUGUUUGGAUAAAAGCUUACCAAGAUUACGAUCUGUAGCUGGUCUGAGAGGAUGAUCAGCCACAAUGGGAAUGAGAAAAGGCAAAGAAUACUAAGGGAGGAAGAAGUGGGGAAUUUUGGAAAAUGGGAGAAAGAAUGAUAAAGAAAAGAAGCGUGCAGGAUGAAGGAAUUCGGGUUGUAAAAUGCUUUUGUAAGGAACGAAAAGACAAUUAAUAAAAAAGAGGGGUCAUGACGGUACAGUAAGAAAAAGCACCGGCUAACUACGUG
rnacentral:rRNA from 1 species